rnacentral:rRNA from 1 species
GAUGAACGCUGGCGGCGUGCCUAAUACAUGCAAGUCGAGCGAACGGACGAGAAGCUUGCUUUUCUGAUGUUAGCGGCGGACGGGUGAGUAACACGUGGAUAACCUACCUAUAAGACUGGGAUAACUUCGGGAAACCGGAGCUAAUACCGGAUAAUAUUUUGAACCGCAUGGUUCAAAAGUGAAAGACGGUCUUGCUGUCACUUAUAGAUGGAUCCGCGCUGCAUUAGCUAGUUGGUAAGGUAACGGCUUACCAAGGCAACGAUGCAUAGCCGACCUGAGAGGGUGAUCGGCCACACUGGAACUGAGACACGGUCCAGACUCCUACGGGAGGCAGCAGUAGGGAAUCUUCCGCAAUGGGCGAAAGCCUGACGGAGCAACGCCGCGUGAGUGAUGAAGGUCUUCGGAUCGUAAAACUCUGUUAUUAGGGAAGAACAUAUGUGUAAGUAACUGUGCACAUCUUGACGGUAUCUAAUCAGAAAGCCACGGCUAACUACGUG